UCUCUGAUGGUCCAGUGGUUAGGACUUUGCACUUCCACUGCAGGGGCCUGGGUUUGAUCCCUGAUGGGGAA
rnacentral:tRNA from 1 species